rnacentral:rRNA from 1 species
AGAGUUUGAUCCUGGCUCAGAGCGAACGCUGGCGGCAUGCUUAACACAUGCAAGUCGCACGGCCGGGGGUAACCCCGGCAGUGGCGGACGGGUGAGUAACGCGUAGGUAUCUAUCCUUGGGUGGGGGACAACCGUGGGAAACUACGGCUAAUACCGCAUGAUGACCGAGGUCCAAAGGCGCAAGUCGCCCAGGGAGGAGCCUGCGUACGAUUAGCUUGUUGGUGGGGUAAAGGCCUACCAAGGCGACGAUCGUUAGCUGGUCUGAGAGGAUGAUCAGCCACAUUGGGACUGAGACACGGCCCAAACUCCUACGGGAGGCAGCAGUGGGGAAUAUUGGACAAUGGGCGAAAGCCUGAUCCAGCUAAUGCCGCGUGUGUGAAGAAGGUCUUCGGAUUGUAAA